CCACAGCAGGCAGUAGGCUGGGUUCUCUAAAUGCAGUAUCUCAGGCGUUUCUCACACACCAUUCGGAGACAGGUCUCUUUGAAACCCCAUGUUACAGUUGAGAACACGGAGAUCAGAGAUAAGAAACUCACCCCAGCUCACGCAGCUGGUAAGUGGGGAACUGAGAAAAGAACACAAGCCUCGGAGAGGUUAUUACAUAAGCUUCUAACCGGCUCAGAGUGUGGCCUCCUCUUUACCUUUCCUGCCGCUGCCUCUCAAAUUACAAGAUCAGCCGGAUGAAGGCGGGAAGACAAAGCCACUUGGCCGGGGUCAUGGAGGAGGUGUGACAGUGAAGGGUCUUCUGCUUCCACAUCCACAAGGCUUUGUCUUCUUUGCUUUGCUGACUCUUCCUCAAAUUUAGAGGUAUUGCGUCUUGAUUUGUUGACCUCAGUAUCUUUGUUUGGCUCAAGAAUGCUCUCAGAACAGUGCCUGGCACACGGCUCAAUCAAUGUUUGCUGAAUGAAUGAGCACGCAUUCACUAAUUUCAAUACCUCUGUUGGUCACAGAGUUUGGGGAUAUAAUGCUCUAGGGAGACGUUUCUGACUAAAAUUUGUUGGCACAUUCAAGUAAAAUUACAAAUGACUAUUAUUCAAGUAACAGCACAAAUGACUACUCUCUAUUUUUCCAUAUGUGAAUGGAUAACAGCAAAGAUCCCGGAGCAGGAAAUUAGGUUAUGCAAAUACCUUCAAGGGCCAAAUUGAAAGUCACUCUUCAUUUGAGGGGAUUUAUUAGCAAUUCUUACCUUUUUCUUUCACAUGCCCUAUUUUACAUUUCUGCUGCAUUUAAGUUGAAUGCUCGCUCCAUCUAGACAAUCUCUAGUACAAACAAAACAGCCAAAUUAAGGCUAGUGAAGAAGCAGUGGUUUUGUUUUUUGUUUUUUGUUUUUUUAUAGUAAGCUUAAGUGCCUGAGCAAAUUAUAGCCCAGCCAGCCAGAGCAGCAAUGAGCCAUUCCAAUUGUAAAUAAACAUAUACGUGGCCUAUGGACAGCCAGCGUGCAUCAGAGACAUCUCAGGCAAUUCAUUUGAACAUUCAAAAGGUUAAACCAGAAGGCAAGAUUGGAUGGGAAUCAUUGUGUCCCCAGCACCUAGGACAUUGGCAGCUGAAUAAAUGCUGAAAUGAUACAUGCUCCCCAAAGGAAGUCAGCCAGCCUUGACUUGGAUAUGUCAAACCCGUCUACUUUGGACCAUGAAAACUAGUGAAUUCACACAAAAGAUCAGAGGUGAAGAACCUGCUGAAAGCUUUGCCAAGGCGAUGACCUCUCAGGCGAACCUCAGAAUGGAUUUGGUUUGGUCAGAUUCAGCCUUCCCUCUCCCAGGCCAUGUAAUCUUCAUCAUAUACCUGCAUUUUAUGGACAAGUCUGGCCUGUGUACCUUCCCUUUGAACUAAAACUCUGGACUGGAGGCCACAGACAGUGAACCACCAGUGAGAACAGAAAAAUCUGGAAGAAUCUGGAAGGGUCUUGAAUCUGAAAGACAAAGAAAUAUGGUAAAGGUAAAUUAUUUCAUUCAACUCCCAGAUCAUGGGGUGCUGGCUCCCAGCAAGGGGCUGAAAAAUGGCGGGUAGCAUCAUUGUCAACAUUAUGACAUGCACCAUCUAUAAUCUGUGUGUACUUUCUCCAAUUCUCUUUCCUCUCCUUCUUCCUUAUGUCACUUUGUUACCUCACAGAAUGGGGUUAAUGCUUUGCUAGGUAGGGGAAGGACUCACUCUUUAUCAAAUGCCUCCCUCUCUCACCAAACUUUAUUAAAAAAUGAAGACCUCUGCAUAUCUUUAUUCCCAAAUUUAAAACUACAAUCUGUGGGUCUUAGUAGUUUCACAUAAUACCUAGAAUUUUUCUUUUAUUCCUAACCCUACAGACUUAGCAUACAUAUAAAACAGAAUUUUAUUGCUAAAGGAGACCUUUGGAAUCAUUAAGCCCCAUCUGGCCAUUUUACAAAUAAGGAAUCAGGCCCAGAAAGGUUAAGUGACUUGCCCAAGAUACACAACUGCUAUGAGUUGGGCCAGAAUUUCUGACUAAGGUCUUGGCUUUUCAAUUAAUACUAGAUAAAGUGAUAAUUGAGAGGUUAUAUCUGUUGGGGAUUUGACCUAGCAUAUGUGUGUGUGCAUGUGUUUGCAUGUGUGUAUGCGUGUGUGUGUGUGUGUGUGUGUGCGUGUAUGUGUAGCAGGUAACA